rnacentral:misc_RNA from 1 species
GAUGAAGAACGUAGUGAAAUGCGAUAAGUAAUGCGAAUUGCAGAAUUUCCGUGAGUCAUCGAAUCUUUGAACGCACAUUGCGCCCACUGGUAUUCCGGUGGGCAUGCCUGUUCGAGCGUCAUUAUCCUCCCUCAAACCUCGGGUUUGGUGUUGGACCCAAGUUGUGUGAACAACUGGUCUCAAAGACAAUGACGGCGUCCGUGGGACCCUCGGUGCAACGAGCUUUUAGGAGCACGCGUCGAGUUUCAAGGACCUUCCGGGCCGGUCUCCUUUACUAUUUUUACAAGGUUGACCUCGGAUCAGGUAGGAAUACCCGCUGAACUUAAGCAUAUCAAUAAGCGGGGA